AGACAGCAGCCGCCGCGGUAAUACGUAGGUGGCAAGCGUUGUCCGGAAUUAUUGGGCGUAAAGCGCGCGCAGGCGGCCUAUCCAGUCUGUCUUAAAAGUUCGGGGCUUAACCCCGUGAUGGGAUGGAAACUGCCAAUCUAGAGUAUCGGAGAGGAAAGUGGAAUUCCUAGUGUAGCGGUGAAAUGCGUAGAUAUUAGGAAGAACACCAGUGGCGAAGGCGACUUUCUGGACGAAAACUGACGCUGAGGCGCGAAAGCCAGGGGAGCGAACGGGAUUAGAUACCCCAGUAGUCCCUGUCUCUUAUACA
rnacentral:rRNA from 1 species